GCCAUAAAACUAAGACCUAUAGGAUUUUUUGCAUGUUUAAGAUCAAAGUAUUUUGGAGAGGUUAUGUGAAUGGAGUCCAUUUUUAAUGUUUCUAAUGUGUUCUCCCAUUCGUGUUUUUAAAGCUCUUUUAGUACGUCCUAUGUAUAUCUUAUCGCAAGGACAUUUUAAUAAAUAGAUUACGCCAGUAGUUGUUUUUUUUUUUUUUGGGCGUUAUGACGUGUGGACGUGCGGACGUACGCUCACCGUGAUGACGGAGUAGGAGGGGAACCCGCCAUGAGAAACACAGAAGCAGAAUUAAGAGGAAAAGAAAAGAAAAAGAGGGAGAGGGGGAGAGAGGGAGCAGAGGGAGAAAAGGAAAAAAGGAAGCCAAAAGACAGAAGUAAAGAAAAGCAAAAGCAAAGAGAUAUCAGAGACUCAGAUACAAUAUGGGCGCUUAAAUUUGUCCAAAAAGAAAAAAAAAAGCCCGAAGACUCA